rnacentral:misc_RNA from 1 species
AGUAUACACCCAAGCUGGCACGCAGGAUGCCGCGGUUAUCAAAAAAGAAUCAGUGGAAUUAUUGAUCAGGUGAGCUCAGGGUGUUACUUACAAUUGAGUUUAAUUGUUAUUGGUUGGAAUUUGACUCUAUUUUCUAGGUCUGUUUGCUAUAGCUAAGCGAUUCUAGUCCGAGUUGUAUGACGUCAAGGCCAAAGUCCAAAUGGUCCUUUGGAUGCCCGUAAAUAAUGCCCCGUACAAUCAAAAUGUAUGAAAUUAAAUAGUAGUUCAUUAUCCUUAAACCCGUAGUUAUAGUUUGUAUGGCGUGAAAGCCCGAGAUCAUGUAUAAUGAAGAAAAUGCAUUCCGAUAUUCCUUAACACCAUAGUCUGAGGUAAGAGUAAGGAUUGCGUACACUAUAUCCUCCCUAUUAACUUUGUGGGAUUACGCUGAGUAUGUUGUUGUUGUAUGUGAAUCAUAGAACCUAUUGAGGAUGUCCAUAAGUAUUUCCUAUUGGAAAUGAGUUGCCAUGGGCUUAAUAAAAAAGAAAAUGUG